rnacentral:misc_RNA from 1 species
CUCCGGUACAUGGGCUUCACCAUAAUCAAAAUAUAGUUCGCUGAAGGAAGAAGCAGAAAGCUUUUGAAAACAGAGGAACUAAAUAUGGCGAUAUAAUUGUAAGCAAUUGGCUGCAAAACUUGCUUCCUAAUGAUUAUUUUCAUGACUAUAGCAUAUAAUACACUCCAAAAAGACAGAAAAAAGCACUAUUAUGAGACUUCACACGCUGUAAUCUAAGCUAAUAUCGUAUUCAUCAUCUGAUACUCUCUAUU